rnacentral:rRNA from 1 species
GACGAACGCUGGCGGCGUGCUUAACACAUGCAAGUUGAACGGAGAUAUCGUUUUCGGAUGAUAUCUUAGUAGCGGACGGGUGAGUAACGCGUGAGCAACCUACCUUUGUGAGGGGGACAACAGCUGGAAACGGCUGCUAAUACCGCAUAAGACCACGGUUCUGAUUGGGACUGAGGUAAAAGAUUUUAUCGCACAAAGAUGGGCUCGCGUCCCAUUAGCUAGUUGGUGAGGUAACGGCCCACCAAGGCAACGAUGGGUAGCCGACCUGAGAGGGUGAUCGGCCACACUGGAACUGAGACACGGUCCAGACUCCUACGGGAGGCAGCAGUGGGGAAUAUUGGGCAAUGGGCGCAAGCCUGACCCAGCAACGCCGCGUGAGGGAAGAAGGUCUUCGGAUUGUAAACCUCUGUCCCACGGGACGAAAAAAAUGACGGUACCGGGGGAGGAAGCUCCGGCUAACUACGUGC